rnacentral:rRNA from 1 species
UACGAAGGGGGCUAGCGUUGCUCGGAAUUACUGGGCGUAAAGGGCGCGUAGGCGGACAGUUUAGUCGGGGGUGAAAGCCCGGGGCUCAACCUCGGAAUUGCCUUCGAUACUGGCUGUCUUGAGUACGGGAGAGGUGUGUGGAACUCCGAGUGUAGAGGUGAAAUUCGUAGAUAUUCGGAAGAACACCAGUGGCGAAGGCGGCUCACUGGCCCGGUACUGACGCUGAGACGCGAAAGCGUGGGGAGCAAACAGG